GCUUAUUGUGGGAAGGAAAAGUUCCAUAUGCUCAAUGUAUUGAACUUAUUGAUGAUGACUUAUGCAACUGCAGGAGUCUGAAUCUUCUUCGAACACAAGAGUUAUGGAUCCUAAAAACAACGCUCCAAUCGUUUUUAAAGUUGAUUGAUGACUAUCAUCCUAUAUUUUUGGAAAUACCGUAUAAUGAGCGACCUUAUUGUGGGAAAGAAAAGUUCCAUA